rnacentral:rRNA from 1 species
AACGAACGCUGGCGGCAUGCCUAACACAUGCAAGUCGAACGAGACCUUCGGGUCUAGUGGCGCACGGGUGCGUAACGCGUGGGAACCUGCCCUUAGGUUCGGAAUAACUCCCCGAAAGGGGUGCUAAUACCGGAUAAUGUCUUCGGACUAAAGAUUUAUCGUCUUUGGAUGGGCCCGCGUUGGAUUAGCUAGUUGGUAGGGUAAAAGCCUACCAAGGCGACGAUCCAUAGCUGGUCUGAGAGGAUGAUCAGCCACACUGGGACUGAGACACGGCCCAGACUCCUACGGGAGGGAGCAGUGGGGAAUAUUGGACAAUGGGCGAAAGCCUGAUCCAGCAAUGCCGCGUGAGUGAUGAAGGCCUUAGGGUUGUAAAGCUCUUUUACCCGGGAUGAUAAUGACAGUACCGGGAGAAUAAGCUCCGGCUAACUCCGUG